rnacentral:rRNA from 1 species
UACGUAGGUGGCAAGCGUUGUCCGGAUUUACUGGGCGUAAAGAGCGCGCAGGCGGUCGUUCAAGUCGCGUGUGAAAGCCCCCGGCUCAACUGGGGAGGGUCACGCGAUACUGAUCGACUGGAAGGCAGGAGAGGGUAGUGGAAUUCCCGGUGUAGUGGUGAAAUGCGUAGAUAUUGGGAGGAACACCAGUGGCGAAGGCGGCUCACUGGACCGGUACUGACGCUGAUGCGCGAAAGCGUGGGGAGCAAACGGG